rnacentral:rRNA from 1 species
CAGUCGCCGCGGGAACACGUAGGUGGCAAGCGUUGUCCGGAAUUAUUGGGCGUAAAGGGCUCGCAGGCGGUUUCUUAAGUCUGAUGUGAAAGCCCCCGGCUCAACCGGGGAGGGUCAUUGGAAACUGGGAAACUUGAGUGCAGAAGAGGAGAGUGGAAUUCCACGUGUAGCGGUGAAAUGCGUAGAGAUGUGGAGGAACACCAGUGGCGAAGGCGACUCUCUGGUCUGUAACUGACGCUGAGGAGCGAAAGCGUGGGGGGCGAACAGGAUUAGAUACCCGCGUAGUCCCUGUCUCUUAUAA